rnacentral:rRNA from 1 species
AAACUUUCAACAACGGAUCUCUUGGUUCCGGCAUCGAUGAAGAACGCAGCGAAAUGCGAUACGUAAUGUGAAUUGCA